UACGUAGGUCGCAAGCGUUGUCCGGAUUUACUGGGCGUAAAGAGCGCGCAGGCGGCUGGUCAAGUCCGAUGUGAAAUCUCCCGGCUCAACUGGGAAACUGCAUCGGAAACUGAUCGGCUUGAAGAUGGGAGAGGGUAGUGGAAUUCCCGGUGUAGCGGUGAAAUGCGUAGAGAUGUGGAGGAACACCGAUGGCGAAGGCAGCUCGCUGGGACGGUACUGACGCUGAGACGCGAAAGCGUGGGGAGCGAACAGG
rnacentral:rRNA from 1 species